GUGCUGGUUUCAGCAGCACAUUUACUAAAACUGGAACGAUACAGAGAGUAGCAUGGCCCCUGCAAAAGGGUGACACAAAAAUUCUCGAAAUGUUCCAUAUUUUU
ensembl:snRNA U6 U6 spliceosomal RNA